UUAGGAACUGCUGUUUGCACAAAGCC
rnacentral:piRNA from 1 species